AUUGAACGCUGGCGGCAGGCCUAACACAUGCAAGUCGAGCGAGCGGCGGACGGGUGAGUAAUGCCUAGGAAUCCGCCUGGUAGUGGGGGAUAACUACUGGAAACGGUAGCUAAUACCGCAUACCAUCGGAUGUGCCCAGAUGGGAUUAGCUAGUAGGUGGGGUAACGGCUCACCUAGGCGACGAUCCCUAGCUGGUCUGAGAGGAUGACCAGCCAAACUGGAACUGAGACACGGUCCAGACUCCUAGGGGAGGCAGCAGUGGGGAAUAUUGCACAAUGGGCGCAAGCCUGAGGCAGCCAUGCCGGGUGUAUGAAGAAGGCCUUCGGGUUGUAAAGUACUUUCAGCGGGGAGGCGUUACCCGCAGAAGAAGCACCGGCUAACUCCGUGCCAGCAGCCGCGGUAAUA
rnacentral:rRNA from 1 species